rnacentral:rRNA from 1 species
AGACAGCCAGGAUCUUGGCUUAGAAGCAGCCAUGAUUUAAAGAGUGCGUAACAGCUCACUGGUCGAGUGGUAGGGCACCGAAGAUAAUCGGGACUGAAGUAUCUUGCCGAAGCUGCGGACUUGCAUAUAUAUGUGAGUGGUAGGAGAGCAUUGUGAUUGCGCAGAAGGUGUAUUGUGAGAUAUGCUGGAGCGGUCACAAGAGACCAUGUUGGCAUGAGUAACGAUAAUGCGGGUGAGAAACCCGCACACCAUAAGCCCAAGGAUUCCUGAGUAAAGUUAAUCUUCUCAGGGUUAGUCGGUCCCUAAGGUAUAGCGAUAAGGCGAAGCUGAUGGGAAUCAGGUUAAUAAUCCUGAACCUGAGUAUUGAGUGAAGGAGUGACGCGACGGUGCUGCAAGGACAGCUGUUGGAAUAGCUGUUGAAUGCAGGUAGGAAGUGAGACAGGUAAAUCCGUUUCACAGAUAUUCCGAGAUGCAGGACGAGGCGUAAGCCGUAAAGCUUGUUUAGAGACGUUGCCGAGAAAUAGCUUCUAGCGUUAAUCAAUAUUCAGACCGUACCGCAAACCGACACAGGUGGGCGAGGAGAGUAUCCUAAGGUGUUCGAGUGAACUCUGGUUAAGGAACUAGGCAAAAUUACCCCGUAACUUCGGGAGAAGGGGUGCCCCGUUAUCGUGAUUAGUCAGCGCUAUGAGCGAGAGGGGGCCGCAGUGAAUAGGCCCAAGCGACUGUUUAUCAAAAACACAGGUCUAUGCGAAGGCGAAAGCCACGGUAUAUAGACUGACACCUGCCCGGUGCCGGAAGGUUAAGUGGAGAGGUUAGCCUGCACUAAUUUUAUCAUAGUGAAGGGUGAAAAGUGACCAGUGAAUUGUGAAGAAUGUAAAAUUGACAAUGUAUAAUGAAUGCGAGAGAUGGUGAAAUUAGUGCAGGCGAAGCUUCGAAAUGAAGCCCCGGUAAACGGCGGCCGUAACUAUAACGGUCCUAAGGUAGCGAAAUUCCUUGUCGGGUAAGUUCCGACCUGCACGAAUGGUGUAACGAUUUGGGCGCUGUCUCAACCAGGGGCUCGGUGAAAUUGAAGUAGCGGUGAAGAUGCCGCUUACCCGCGAACGGACGGAAAGACCCCGUGAACCUUUACUGUAGCUUGGCAUUGUAAAUUGGUGCAGUAUGUGUAGGAUAGGUGGGAGGCUAUGAGGCGUGCACGCCAGUGUGCGCGGAGCCAGCGUUGAAAUACCACCCUUAUUGUAUUGAUUUACUAACGAUAGAGCAACUAUUGGACAUUGCCAGGUGGGCAGUUUGACUGGGGCGGUCGCCUCCGAAAGAGUAACGGAGGCUUACCAAGGUUCCCUCCGGCUGGUUGGUAAUCAGCCAUAGAGCGCAAAGGUAUAAGGGAGCUUAACUGCGAGACCGACGGGUCGAGCAGGUGGGAAACCAGGUCUUAGUGAUCCGGCGGUUCUGAAUGGAAGGGCCGUUGCUCAAAGGAUAAAAGGUACUCCGGGGAUAACAGGCUGAUACCGCCCAAGAGUUCAUAUCGACGGCGGUGUUUGGCACCUCGAUGUCGGCUCAACUCAUCCUGGGGCUGAAGAAGGUCCCAAGGGUUCGGCUGUUCGCCGAUUAAAGAGUUACGCGAGCUGGGUUCAGAACGUCGUGAGACAGUUCGGUCCCUAUCCUUCGUGGGCGUAGGAAAUUUGAGGAGCACUGCAUUUAGUACGAGAGGACCGGUGUGGACGAACCUCUGGUGUACCGGUUGUGAUGCCAAUUGCAUUGCCGGGUAGCCAAGUUCGGUUAGGAUAACCGCUGAAAGCAUCUAAGCGGGAAGCCAGCUCCGAGAUAAGAUUUCCCCAUAGAGAGGUUGGAGACGACAACCUUGAUAGGUUACAGGUGUAAGCGCAGUAAUGCGUUGAGCCGAGUAAUACUAAUAACUCAAUUGGCUUUCAC